rnacentral:tRNA from 1 species
GCUUAGUUAGCUCAGCUGGCAGAGCAAUCGGCUGUUAACCGAUCGGUCGCAGGUUCGAGCCCUGCACUAAGCG